rnacentral:rRNA from 1 species
AGAGUUUGAUCCUGGCUCAGAUUGAACGCUGGCGGCAGGCCUAACACAUGCAAGUCGAGCGGCAGCGACUUAACUGAACCUUCGGGGAACGUUAAGGGCGGCGAGCGGCGGACGGGUGAGUAAUGCCUGGGAAUAUGCCCUGAUGUGGGGGAUAACUAUUGGAAACGAUAGCUAAUACCGCAUAAUCUCUUCGGAGCAAAGAGGGGGACCUUCGGGCCUCUCGCGUCAGGAUUAGCCCAGGUGGGAUUAGCUUGUUGGUGAGGUAAUGGCUCACCAAGGCAACGAUCCCUAGCUGGUCUGAGAGGAUGAUCAGCCACACUGGAACUGAGACACGGUCCAGACUCCUACGGGAGGCAGCAGUGGGGAAUAUUGCACAAUGGGGGAAACCCUGAUGCAGCCAUGCCGCGUGUGUGAAGAAGGCCUUCGGGUUGUAAAGCACUUUCAGUAGGGAGGAAGGUAGUGUAGUUAACACCUGCAUUAUUUGACGUUACCUACAGAAGAAGCACCGGCUAACUCCGUGCCAGCAGCCGCGGUAAUACGGAGGGUGCGAGCGUUAAUCGGAAUUACUGGGCGUAAAGCGCAUGCAGGCGGCCUGUUAAGUCAGAUGUGAAAGCCCGGGGCUUAACCUCGGAAUUGCAUUUGAAACUGGCAGGCUAGAGUCUUGUAG